CGGUCACGGCCUGGCGGCGUCGCGGGAGCACGCGCAGGAGCGCGCUUUGGCCUUCUCCGGGCUCGGCCGCCGGUACAAAGCUGUGCUUCGGAGGGACGAAGGAUUCAGUGCCGAGCCCCGUUUGGAACUUGAGCACAGACAAACCCCUUAAGGCCACUAUAGCCCUGAAUCAAAGCAAGGAGACAGGCCCACCCCAUCUUAAGAAGAAUUCACAGUAUUACGGAGAGAGACUGCAAAGCCAACAAAUUCCGUGUCAAGGCCGAAGACUGUUGGGGUCAGAGGCACAGGAAAUGUGCCCUUAUCUGUGAUACCUGACUCUGACACCCAAGAAAGAAAAUUUCACAUAACAUCAGGGAGACAGCUGUUAAGUAGAGAAACUGGGAAUGUGAGUGAGUAAGUUAAGGGAGUUUUCUUAAGUCACUGGGUGAGAAAGUUAAAGUUUAAGGUUCAAGCUAUUUUAGAAAACGAGACAAGAUGGAGGACUUUGGGUGUUGUCCCUUUCUCCUUCUUCAUCAUCUUCUCGGGAUUUUUGGGUAAUAAUAAGU